rnacentral:rRNA from 1 species
AACGAACGCUGGCGGCAUGCCUAACACAUGCAAGUCGAACGAGACCUUCGGGCCUAGUGGCGCACGGGUGCGUAACGCGUGGGAACCUGCCCUUAGGUUCGGAAUAACUCCCCGUAAGGGGUGCUAAUACCGGAUAAUGUCUUCGGACCAAAGAUUUAUCGCCUUUGGAUGGGGCCGCGUUGGAUUAGCUAGUUGGUAGGGUAAAAGCCUACCAAGGCGACGAUCCAUAGCUGGUCUGAUAGGAGGAUCAGCCACACUGGGACUGAGACACGGCCCAGACUCCGACGGGAGGCAGCAGUGGGGAAUAUUGGACAAUGAGGGAAAGCCUGAUCCAGCAGUGCCGCGUGAGUGAGGAAGGGCUUAGGGUUGUAAAUCUCUUUUACCCGGGAUGAUAAUGACAGUACCGGGAGAAUAAGCACCGGCUAACUCCGUG